GGAAUCUGGAAACAAGAAAAUAAAUAUAAUCAGCGAUAUAAUCAUUACGCCAUCCCACUUAGAUCGCCAUAACCUGGAAAGAAAACAAGUCAGCAAUUUAGAGUCCACUUCUGCAUCGCCUGAAAAUAAAAAUUCGCUUACGCAAGAUACCCAAUUUUCACAUUUAGUUCCCGCUCCGAG